AACCUAGCACACCUGCGGUGUGUACCUGCGGAAGGAUCAUUAAAAAGAGUGUGUACCCCUCUGUAAAAUGAGUGGGUUACCUCCCGUCCUUUGUUGACCUCUUAGGAGGUUAUUUUGAACUUUCUGCUUCGGUGGGGUUAAACCUACCGGAACACCCUCAAAUUCUUAUCAUUUAAAAAUUGUUCAGUCUGAUUUUUGUUAAUAAAAACAAAAAACUUUCAGCAAUGGAUCUCAGAUCGG
rnacentral:misc_RNA from 1 species